rnacentral:rRNA from 1 species
AGUGAACGCUGGCGGUAGGCCUAACACAUGCAAGUCGAACGGCAGCACAGUAAGAGCUUGCUCUUACGGGUGGCGAGUGGCGGACGGGUGAGGAAUACAUCGGAAUCUACUUUUUCGUGGGGGAUAACGUAGGGAAACUUACGCUAAUACCGCAUACGACCUACGGGUGAAAGCAGGGGAUCUUCGGACCUUGCGCGAUUGAAUGAGCCGAUGUCGGAUUAGCUAGUUGGCGGGGUAAAGGCCCACCAAGGCGACGAUCCGUAGCUGGUCUGAGAGGAUGAUCAGCCACACUGGAACUGAGACACGGACCAGACUCCUACGGGAGGCAGCAGUGGGGAAUAUGGGACAAUGGGCGCAAGCCUGAUCCAGCCAGACCGCGUGGGUGAAGAAGGCGUUCGGGUUGUAAAGCCCUUUUGUUGGGAAAGAAAAGCAGCAGGUUAAUACCCAGCUGUUCUGACGGUACCCAAAGAAUAAGCACCGGCUAACUUCGUG